UACGGGAGGCAGCAGUGGGGAAUAUUGCACAAUGGGCGAAAGCCUGAUGCAGCUAUGCCGCGUGUAUGAAGAAGGCCUUAGGGUUGUAAAGUACUUUCAUCGGGGAGGAAAAAACAAAACUAAUAAUUUUAUUUCUUGACGUUACCCGAAAAAGAAGCACCGGCUAACUCCGUGCCAGCAGCCGCGGUAAUACGGAGGGUGCUAGCGUUAAUCAGAAUUACUGGGCGUAAAGAGCACGUAGGUGGUUUUUUUAAGUCAGAUGUGAAAUCCCUGGGCUUAACCUAGGAACUGCAUUUUGAAACUGAAAUACUAGAGUAUCGUAGAGGGGGUAGAAUUCUAGGUGUAGCGGUGAAAUGCGUAGAUAUCUGGAGGAAUACCUGUGGCGAAAGCGGCCUCCUAAACGAAUACUGACACUGAGGGUGCGAAAGCGUGGGGAGCAAACAGGGAUUAGAUACC
rnacentral:rRNA from 1 species